rfam:Schistosoma margrebowiei strain Zambia genome assembly, scaffold: SMRZ_scaffold0001350
AUCCAGCUGACGAGUCCCAAAUAGAACGAAACAUGCGUCCUGGAU